rnacentral:snRNA from 1 species
CUAAAACUAAACUAAAACUACUAAAAGUGGAACAAUACAGAGAAGAUUAGCAUGGCCCCGGCGCAACGAUGACACGCAAAUUCGUGAAGCGUUCCAAAAUUUU